CCCUUAGAUGUUCUGGGCCGCACGCGCGCUACACUGACGGAGGCAGUGAGCGUGUCCUUCGCCGGCAGGUGCGGGCAAUCUUGCGAGUCUCCGUCGUGCUGGGGAUAGAUGGUUGCAAUUGUCGAUCUUGAACGAGGAAUUCCUAGUAAGCGCGAGUCAUCAGCUCGCGCUGAUUACGUCCCUGCCCUUUGUACACACCGCCCGUCGCUACUACAGAGUGCCCGUGUCCAAGAAACGGUCGGACCUGUGCGGCCUCUCCGGGCGACCGGAGGGCCGUUACGGGGAAGACCCUUUAUUUGACGCGGGUCGAUGAAGUAAAAGUCGUAACA
rnacentral:rRNA from 1 species